AGUUCUUAGCGUGUCGAGGAUCAGCACUGACUGAACCGUUCAAUCUACGAGCAGCAUGGGAAUUGCCCAUUGCCAGCUGAUGCAGCAUGCGGUGUAUGAAGAGCUCCGAGUAGGUACCUUCAGCGGGAAGAGCGAUAGGUUAAUAACUCGUCGAUUGACGUUACCGCAGGAGAGCACGGCUACUCGUGCCAGCAGCCGCGGUAUACCGGAGGGGUGCAAGCGUUAUCGGAAUUACUGGCGUUAAGCGCACGCAGCGGUUUUGUCAAGUCGAUGUGAAUCCCGGGCUCACCUUGGGAACUGCAUUCGAACUGGCAGGCUAGAGUCUUGUAGAGGGGGUAGAAUUCCAGGUGUAGCGGUGAAAUGCGUAGAGAUCUGGAGGAAUACCGGUGGCGAAGGCGGCCCCCUGGACAAAGACUGACGCUCAGGUGCGAAAGCGUGGGAGCAAACAGGAUUAGAUACCCUGGUAGUCACGCCGUAAACGAUGUCGACUUGGAGGUUGUGCCCUGAGGCGUGGCUUCCGGAGCUAACGCGUUAAGUCGACCGCCUGGGGAGUACGGCCGCAAGGUUAAAACUCAAAUGAAUUGACGGGGGCCCGCACAAGCGGUGGAGCAUGUGGUUUAAUUCGAUGCAACGCGAAGAACCUUACCUACUCUUGACAUCCAGAGAACUUAGCAGAGAUGCUUUGGUGCCUUCGGGAACUCUGAGACAGGUGCUGCAUGGCUGUCGUCAGCUCGUGUUGUGAAAUGUUGGGUUAAGUCCCGCAACGAGCGCAACCCUUAUCCUUUGUUGCCAGCGGUUCGGCCGGGAACUCAAAGGAGACUGCCAGUGAUAAACUGGAGGAAGGUGGGGAUGACGUCAAGUCAUCAUGGCCCUUACGAGUAGGGCUACACACGUGCUACAAUGGCGCAUACAAAGAGAAGCGACCUCGCGAGAGCAAGCGGACCUCAUAAAGUGCGUCGUAGUCCGGAUUGGAGUCUGCAACUCGACUCCAUGAAGUCGGAAUCGCUAGUAAUCGUAGAUCAGAAUGCUACGGUGAAUACGUUCCCGGGCCUUGUACACACCGCCCGUCACACCAUGGGAGUGGGUUGCUAAAAGAAGUAGUGUGAGCUUAGAAAUCGCGACCCCGCUUACUGCAGUCGAAGCAGCUUA
rnacentral:rRNA from 1 species